rnacentral:rRNA from 1 species
UCUGCUGUUAAAGGCUGAAGCUUAACUCCGGUAGAGCAGUGGAAACUGGUGUGCUAGAGGGCGACAGGGGUAGAGGGAAUUCCCAGUGUAGCGGUGAAAUGCGUAGAGAUUGGGAAGAACACCGGUGGCGAAAGCGCUCUACUGGGUCGCACCUGACCCUCAGGGACGAAAGCUAAGGUAGCGAAAGGGAUUAGAUACCCCUGUAGUCUUAGCCGUAAACGAUGGAUACUAGGCGUGGUUUGUAUCGACCCAAGCCGUGCCGAAGCUAACGCGUUAAGUAUCCCGCCUGGGGAGUACGCACGCAAGUGUGAAUCUCAAAGGAAUUGACGGGGGCCCGCACAAGCGGUGGAGGAUGUGGUUUAAUUCGAUGCAACGCGAAGAACCUUACCAGGGCUUGACAUCCCGCGAAUCCCCAUGAAAGUGGGGAGUGCCUUCGGGAGCGCGGAGAGAGGUGGUGCAUGGCUGUCGUCAGCUCGUGUCGUGAGAUGUUGGGUUAAGUCCCGCAACGAGCGCAACCCUCGUCCUUAGUUGCCAGCAUUAAGUUGGGCACUCUAGGGAGACUGCCGGUGACAAACCGUGAGGAAGGUGAGGAUGACGUCAAGUCAGCAUGCCCCUUAUGCUCUGGGCAACACACGUCCUACAAUGGUCGGGACAAAGGGGAGCGAGCUCGCGAGAGUCAGCGAAUCCCAGCAAACUCGGCCUCAGUUCAGAUGGCAGGCUGCAACUCGCCUGCCUGAAGGAGGAAUCGCUAGUAAUC